rnacentral:rRNA from 1 species
UUUGAUCCUGGCUCAGGACGAACGCUGGCGGCGUGCUUAACACAUGCAAGUCGAACGAUGAAGGAAGAGCUUGCUUUUCUGGAUUAGUGGCGAACGGGUGAGUAACACGUGAGUAACCUGCCCUCUUCUUUGGGAUAACGGUCGGAAACGGCUGCUAAUACUGGAUAUUCACUCAUUGGCGCAUGUUGGUGGGUGGAAAGGUUUUUUCUGGUGGGGGAUGGGCUCGCGGCCUAUCAGCUUGUUGGUGGGGUGAUGGCCUACCAAGGCUUUGACGGGUAACCGGCCUGAGAGGGUGACCGGUCACAUUGGGACUGAGAUACGGCCCAGACUCCUACGGGAGGCAGCAGUGGGGAAUUUUGCACAAUGGGCGCAAGCCUGAUGCAGCGACGCCGCGUGAGGGAUGAAGGCCUUCGGGUUGUAAACCUUUUUCGCUCAUGGUCAAGCCAUACUGUUGGGUGUGGUGAGGGUAGUGGGUAAAGAAGCGCCGGCUAACUACGUGCCAGCAGCCG